ensembl:lncRNA
CUGCAAAGUGACUCAAAAGCCAUACAUUCCACUUCAGAAGAGCAGGUAUCCUAUUACUGUGGGCAUGCCACAGGUCCAGGAUCUUCCUUCAGGCUCAGCUGUUCUAGCAGGGUCGGUUCCUCCUCUCAUCAACAGCACUCACUGCCAUCAGGAACACUUUUGGCUGGACUUUUUCCAGGUCAUGAUCCAAAACUCAUCAUGACUGCUUGGAAGAAGCUUAAACUAAAGGAUGUAAGAGGGAGAAUGACUUAAGAGAAGAGACACAUCAAUGUUAUGAGGAGGAGGAAAGAAGAGAAGGAGAAGUGAAGACCAUGCAUUACAAGGCUAAUGAAGAUUUUCUUAAGAAGUUUUAAAUAUAGAAAAAUGGCUUUUUUUGUAUCUGUGUUUUAGUGUUUCAUCUAACAUCACACAAUAAGCCUGAGUGAAACUCUAGAGAGAGCUCUCUUAUCUCCAACGUUUUUGAGAUAUUCAUACCACCUCUGACUGAAAUACUCCUUUCAGAAUUAUUUUAAAGAUGUUGGAUUUUGAUGUUGUCUUGAAAAUGAACCAUGGCAGGCCCUUCUCUUCCCUUCCCACUCUCCAGAUGAACUGAGCUCAAGCCCACUCAGUGCUUUGUAUGAAUCUGUUCUUGCCUUAUAGAUGCUUGCAGCUGACCAUCUAACCUUACAGUUAUGGAACAAAUGUAUGUAUCUGAUCAGCAAGUGGAUGAAAUUUCACUACAACCUCUGAAGACAGUGUCUACCACUAGCUACUUCUAACUAAGCCUAUGCAGUGUGAGAAAAAAAUAUUGUUCUGCCUUUCCUACUGCUCAGAUAACAGAGCAGUCCCUAAAGUAAGAUGACAAGAAAAAAAAGCCAUUGAUCUUUUACAGAGAACUUCCAUAGAUGAUGCUCCAGAGACACUGUGUUGUCAAGAUGAAACCAGAGCACAGACAUUAACUACCUUCUUGUUUGAUUUUCUUCAUCCUCAGAGUCUUCCUGUCCAAAUUUAAACACUAGUCAGUAGCUCAUGGAGUCCAAACAUGGCAUUAGGUGGCUUUAUUAGCUUUCUAUUAGCUUUCAUGAAGUGCUAAUCCCUUUUUAUAUGAGACAAGCCUGAAUUUGAACUCACCUGAAUUGCCAUAGACUUACAGUCAUGGGAUGCUGCUGUCUUGCAGCCAUCAAAAAACCCGGUAUUUCUAUUGCCUGGUAUUUCUUUAGACACAUGAAGUCAAAGGGUCCAAAGUACUGUAUGCUUCAGUGUAAAAUGAAAAAGAAAAAAAAUGGACAAAAAAGCCUGCUCCAGGGAGAAGACCAAUACAAUGAAAAGUAAUGGCAAUAUGCACUUGUGCGAACAUAAGCUUUUCAGCUGCCAGCUGAUUGUGAGAUCAAUGAAGUGCUUAAAGAAGAGGAAUGUUUUUGAAGAGCCACAUUUGAUGCCUGUAUCUCUUGGGCAGAACUGACUCUACUCAAUUCUUCAUAUAGAGACCAAUUGCCAAAAAGAAGCUAUUAUAUACCAAGUUGGAUGGUUCUGUCUCUUUUCUACUUCUCAGAAGCAGUUCCAGAUCACAGUGCUUUUGAUUAAAAGGAGGUAUUUUUAUUUGGUUAAUUGGUUUCUUGUUCUCCCAGAACUUCAAGGAAAAACCAAUGAAAACAUUUUAUCAAAAGCUCAGUUUUGGUUCCAUGUGCGUCAUGGGUAGCUGCAACAAAAAGUCUUCUGCGGUGAAUCUUCUGGCAUGUCAACAAAUUUAAAAGCAUGCAAACACGCUAAGAAAUGAACAAACAAAC